rnacentral:rRNA from 1 species
CCUACGGGCGGCAGCAGUGGGGAAUUUUGGACAAUGGGCGCAAGCCUGAUCCAGCUAUUCCGCGUGUGGGAUGACGGCCCUCGGGUUGUAAACCACUUUAGUAGAGAACGAAAAGGAACUAUCGAGUAAAUAGCUAUGCUGACGGUACACUAAGGAUAAGCACCGGCUAACUACGUGCCAGCAGCCGCGGUAAUACGUAGGGUGCGAGCGUUAAGCGGAAUUACUGGGCGUAAGGGGUGUGCAGGCGGCUGAGUAAGACAGAGGUGAAAUCCCCGGGCUUAACCUGGGAACCGCAUAUGUGACUGCGUGGCUAGAGUGCGUCAGAGGGAGGUGGAAUUCCACGUGUAGCAGUGAAAUGCGUAGAUAUCACGCAGAACUCCGAUUGCGAAGGCAGCAUACCGGCGCCCAACUGACGCUGAAGCACGAAAGCGUGGGUAUCGAACAGGAUUAGAUACCCUAGUAGUC